rnacentral:rRNA from 1 species
UACGUAGGGUGCAAGCGUUAAUCGGAAUUACUGGGCGUAAAGCGUGCGCAGGCGGUUGUGCAAGACAGAUGUGAAAUCCCCGGGCUCAACCUGGGAACUGCAUUUGUGACUGCACGGCUGGAGUGCGGCAGAGGGGGAUGGAAUUCCGCGUGUAGCAGUGAAAUGCGUAGAUAUGCGGAGGAACACCGGUGGCGAAGGCAAUCCCCUGGGCCUGCACUGACGCUCAUGCACGAAAUCGUGGGGAGCAAACAGG